rnacentral:lncRNA from 10 species
CAAGAAGGGGACCCAGUGAGCGUUAGGGGAGGGUCUGUCAUGCCCAGAAGAGAGUUAUUAGCUCUCAGGUGGCAGCAGAAGCCAGGGGGUUGAACCAAAUCACACAGAAAGAUUGGAUGCUGUGAGAAAAUAAGGCCACAGAUGAAGUCAUAAUGAAUCCCAACAUUUUAUGACAUGGACCCAGGAACAGAAGACCGCAAAGUGGGCUGGGAUCUGUGAGCCCAGAAAAGCAACGUUCCACCAAAGUCAAGGGAGGCUGGAAUGUCAAAUUGGAGGUGUCUAGGAGUGUCAAAUAUUGCAGAAGGUGUUAAAAAGGACCGAAAAGUGUCUGCUGAGAUUUGCUAUCCAGAAGCACAGCUCAAAAUGGCCUCUGCAGAAUAAAUGGAAUGAGCUAGGUGUGGAACUCCAGGCACAGCGGUCAAUUAAGGGCUGUUCAUUAACAUUUCAAGCACUGCAGAUAGGUGGGUCUUAGCAGCUGGAGUUAAGUAGUGUGUUCUGAUA